ACCUCAGCCUGCUAACUAGCUACACGGAGGUGAUCCUUCGUGGCUAGCUUCUUAGAGGGACUAUGUCCUUUUAGGCCACGAAAGUUUGAGGCAAUAACAGGUCUGUGAUGCCCUUAGAUGUUCUGGGCCACACGCACGCUACACUGAUGUAUUCAAUGAGUCUAUACCCUUGGUCGACAGGCACGGGUAAUCUUUGAAAUUUUAUCGUGAUGGGGAUAGAUCAUUGCAAUUGUUGGUAUUCAACGAGGAAUUCCUAGUAAGCGCGAGUCAUCAGCUCGCGUUGUCUACGUCUCUGCCCUUUGUACACACCUCCCGUCGCUCCUACCGAUUGAAUAGUCCGGUGAAGUGUUCAGAUCGCGGCAAUGUGGGCAGUUCGCUACCCGCGACGUCGCGAUAAGUCCACUGAACCUUAUCAUUUAGAGGAAGGAGAAGUCGUAACAAGGUUUCCGUAGGUGAACCUGCGGAAGGAUCAUUG
rnacentral:ncRNA from 1 species